rnacentral:rRNA from 1 species
GUCUAUGGCCAUGCUACCUUGAACACACCCGAUCCUCUCUGAUCUCGGAAGCUAAGCAGGGUCGGGCCUGGCUAGUAUUUGGAGGGGAGAGACUACCUAGGAAGACCAGGUGCUGUAGGUG